rnacentral:snoRNA from 1 species
UACCAAAGAUCUUUGUCAGGGUGGUACUCUUGAUCGAUCACUAGAUCGAUUAUCUUCACAUUAUUGCCUGUUACAUCUUUGGAAGAAUAAUGCUACUCGCUCGUGUUCCUGAUUUAUCAGUUCAUUAACCGUUUUGGUUAAUGAUUUGUUCACACCGGUUGAUAGUUUUUAUCGACCAUUUUAGAGUAGUAUCGGGAUCUUCUUGAGUUGAAACAUUUCUUCUAGGCUAGUCCAAGAAUUCGUGAUUUGUUUCGUAGUAUAGAACCCGACAUUU